UGUCGACUGCUUACCUGUUCCACCGGCCGCCUAGCUUAGCAUGGAUACGGCUCGUUGCCGGACGGACCCCAAGCUAGUUUGCAGGUGAAGUAGGGAAUAUAUGCAUGCUUGCAUUGUCUUGUCGAUCUUGAGAGAUGAUAUGCAUGGGAGAGCGCCGGCUGGUGGGAUAUGGAGGGCCAUCUUCUCCUGAAUCUUCCUUGAGCCAGAGCCAGCCAGCCAGCGAUCUAUUCAGCAUGCCGUGUCAGUAGACUGUCACUGCACUCCAGCUCCGGGCUCUGUGAGAUCGAGGUAGAGAGAGAGCUGAGCUGCAAUGCAAGCAAAGCAAAAGCAAAAGAUGUGCGGUGACUGCUAGCUGGAGUAAGAUCGACUGACCGAAGCAGCUAGCUAGCAAUGAUCGGGCGAGACGACAGACGUACGUGCCGGGCAACGACAAGAACUACUGACCGGGUCUAGCAUCUUACAAUAUGUGGAUUGCCAUUUGGUCCCGCAAGGAAGCAUGUUCGUUGGUCAUUCAAGGCAACACUCAUUCUUUAUGCAAUGGAAAUCCGUGCGCAGGUUUGGACUCCAGGAAAUCCUUGGGCUGCAGAAAUGGCAGGGAUGCUUGUGUUGUUGAAGCAUCAGUUCCAGUUAAUGAUAUCUCUGUUCCGGCCUGCUCAUAGUGAAGAACAGCAAAGAAGCUACUGACUGCUAGUUAAAUCCAACUCGUCUGGACAGCUUGAUUGGAAAUGCCCACAAGGACAUAUGGUGCUGCAUGCUUUCAGCAAGAUAAGAGAAGCAGGGAGUGAUGCUUUUAGUUUUAGGGUCCGACAGAUAUCCAGCUUCGCAUUGCCAGGCCUCUUGCUGAUUUUGAACACACUGCUUCUCCACUGCAGCUCUUGCCCUAGUGGCUGCAACUCUUCUUCGCAGGAAAUUGUUAAGAGACAUGGCUCGUGCUUUGAUCAGACUAGUAGCAUUUGGCAGGGGGGUCAAGAACCUGUCUGCUAUGGCUUGGAAGUGAAGGCACAGGAUCUUGGUAGAUCACAAGGCUUUUGGAAUAGACAUCUUCAGUUUCGUGCCAUAUCUGUCAGCGGUUCAAUCGUUUGCGAGAACCAUUAAUAAGGAAGGAGACGAUAUGGGAGCGAGAUAAAACAUCUCCAUGUGUCAACUCUCUCCCAAUUCUGGCGCAACAAUCUAAUCAAAGAGUACUAAUACUACUAGAGGUACAGCCCUCCACAGCAUUCAGACUUUUCAGAGGAAUGUAUAAACCCUAACACCAGAGGAUUCACCAAAGAUCAAUCCUGAUUAUUCCAGUCAAAUGUCGCAUACACAAAAUCCUCCUGAUUAAAGUUCUAAGCAAUUUGAUGAAUGAAUAAAGGAUCAAUCCUGAUUAUUCCAGUCAAAUGUCGCAUACCAAGUAACUAAGCAUCGACAACGAUAGCGAGCAUACAGAUUAAAA